GCUCAGGACGAACGCUGGCGGCGCGCUUCAUACAUGCAAGUCGAGCGAGAACCAGGGCUUCGGCCCUGGGGACAGCGGCGAACGGGUGAAUAACACGUGAGCAACCUGCCCCGAAGACCGGGACAAGCCGGGGAAACCUGGUCUAAUACCGGAUGUCCUCUUCCGAUCGCAUGGUCGGAUGAGGAAAUGGAUUCCGCUUCGGGAUGGGCUCGCGGUCUAUCAGCUUGUUGGUGGGGUAACGGCCUACCAAGGCAACGACGGAUAGCUGGUCUGAGAGGACGAUCAGCCACACUGGGACUGAGACACGGCCCAGACUCCUACGGGAGGCAGCAGUAGGGAAUCUUGCGCAAUGGGGGAAACCCUGGCGCAGCGACGCCGCGUGCGGGAUGAAGGUCUUCGGAUUGUAAACCGCUUUCAGCAGGGACGAAAUUGACGGUACCUGCAGAAGAAGGCCCGGCCAACUACGUGCCAGCAGCCGCGGUAAUACGUAUGGGCCUAGCGUUGUCCGGAUUUAUUGGGCGUAAAGAGCUCGUAGGCGGUUCGGCAAGUCGGAUGUGAAAUCUCCACGCUCAACGUGGAGGGGCCAUUCGAAACUGCCGUGACUCGAGUCCGGUAGGGGAGUGUGGAAUUCCCGGUGUAGCGGUGAAAUGCGCAGAUAUCGGGAAGAACACCUAUGGCGAAGGCAGCUCUCUGGGACGGUACUGACGCUGAGACGCGAAAGCGUGGGGAGCGAACAGGAUUAGAUACCCUGGUAGUCCACGCCGUAAACGAUGGGCGCUAGGUGUGGGCGGUGUCGACUCCGUCCGUGCCGAAGCUAACGCAUUAAGCGCCCCGCCUGGGGAGUACGGCCGCAAGGCUAAAACUCAAAGGAAUUGACGG
rnacentral:rRNA from 1 species